GACGAACGCUGGCGGCGUGCCUAACACAUGCAAGUAGGACGCAGUUGCGAACGGGUGAGUAACGCGUAGGUAACUACCUAUUAGAGGGGGAUAAAUAUUGGAACCGAUAGCUAAUACCGCAUACUAGUAGAUGGACCUUCGUGGUAUUGGCUAGUAGGUCGGGUAAUGGCCUACCUAGGCAACGCUACAUAGCCGAGCUGGGUAGGGGAUCGGCCAAACUGGGACGGGAGCAAGGCCCAAGAGCCUACGGGAGGGAGCAGUAGGGGAUCUUCGGCAAUGGGGGGAACGCUGACCGAGCAAAGCCGCGUGGGUGAAGGAGGGUUUCGGAUCGUAAAGGUCUGUUGUGAAGGAAGCGGUACUUAACCAAAAAGGGACGGCUAACUCCGUGCCAGCAGCCGCGGUAAUUC
rnacentral:rRNA from 1 species